rnacentral:rRNA from 1 species
UACGUAGGGGUCUAGCGUUGUCCGGAUUCAUUGGGCGUAAAGAGCUCGUAGGCGGCUGCUCAAGUCGAAUGUGAAAACUCGAGGCUCAACCUCGAGCCUGCAUUCGAUACUGGGCGGCUAGAGUCUGGUAGGGGGAUCUGGAAUUCCUGGUGUAGCGGUGGAAUGCGCAGAUAUCAGGAGGAACACCGGUGGCGAAGGCGGCUCUCUGGGACGGUACUGACGCUGAGACGCGAAAGCGUGGGGAGCGAACAGG